UUUGUCUCAAGACAUUGUAGCCUACUACACGAAGGUGUACAAGGAAUUAAUCACUACUCGCCCUUCCCCCGAGGGUAUCCAGCUACCUCACAUUGACGAAUAACAACAUCAAUCGCUAGUGGCAACUUUUACUGAAAUGGAGGUUCUGAGAAUUCUUAAAAGCUGCAUGGGAAACAAGUCUCCAGGACCUGACGACUUCCGUUGGGAAGUUAUUGAAGAAGAGGUAAUGAAUGCUUUCCAUGAUUUUCAUUCAAGAUCUAUGACCCGCGAUGCCGUAAAUUUCAUUUUCAUUUGUUUGAUUCCGAAGAAGGAAACAGUAACAUAUGUGAAAGAUCUGAGACCCAUCAGCCUUGUUACUAGUCUGUACAAGCUAAUAUCGAAUGUGUUGAUGGAGCGAAUGAACUGUGUGAUGCCUUCUUUAGUUUCUCCAAAUCAGUGUGCUUUUGUGCAGGGAAGGCAAAUUCUAGAUGCUUGUCUCCUUGCUAAUGAAGUAAUUGUUUCAAGACGAAGAAGCACAAAACUUAGGCUAGUUUCCAAAUUACACAUAGAGAAGGCUUCCGACUGUGUUAACCAGAGUUUUUUGUUAUAAACUUUGAAACGAUUAAACUUUUCGGUGCAAUGGAUUUCUUGGAUUCAGAGCUGUGUUACGAACUCCACCUUCUCAGUUCUUAUGAAUGGAGAGGCAAAGGGUUUCUUUAAGAGUUCUCGGGGACUCAGAUAGGGUAAUCCUUUAUCUCAAUUUCUCUUCAUCAUAGUUAUGGAGUUGCUCUCACACAUAUUCAGGAUCAUCAAGGAGGCAGAGAUCUCAUUUCAGGAUUUUUUAUGAAUCAUUACCUACAAGCAGGAGAGGUAACUCAUAUUCUUUAUGCUGAUGAUAUUAUUGUUCUAUGUGAUGCAUCAAUUUCUCAAGUUCGUGCUUUUGUCGCUGGAUUGGCCUGUUUUCAAGCAAUAUCAGUGUUAAAGGUGAAUUUCGAAAACUGCAGUGUCACGGCUGUUGGAGAGGUGCCACAUAUGCAAGCAUUAGCUGCCGCUUUUGGCUGCGACAUUGGUUCUUUUCCAGGGACCAAUGUGGGGCUCCCUUUUGGAAAACAAGCACAUACUAAUGUCAUUUGGGAACCGGUAAUUUCUCGUGUAGAGCAGCGGCUACAAAGCUGGAAAGCUAGACACCUUUCUUUUGGGGCUGAAUUGUUCUGAUUAAGAGUGUUUUAUCAAACCUGUCAAUAUACUCUUUAUCUAUCUUUAAGGCUCCUAUGGCAGUGACUAAAAUAAUUGAGAAGAUUUAGAACAAUGUUCUAUGGUCAGGGAUUGCAGAGGAACAAAAGCAUCACUUAGUGAGCCGGAAGAAAGUUAAAACACCUAAGUUUCGAGGUAGUUUAGGAAUCAAGGACCUGAGAUGUGUGAAUCAAACUUUACUAGGAAAUUAGUUAUAGAGAUUUUGUAUUGAACAAAACUCUUGGUGGAGACAGCUUAUUGGUAUGAAAUAUGGUUUUAAGGAAAGCUCAAUGUGGCAUUUUUCUAGGGUUAUAGGAUCGAUUGGGUGGCAAUGUGGCAUUGGAUUUUGGCAAUGAGUUCUAAGUUUUGGAGAUUCAGUUUUGUCGAUCCUAGCAAUGGAGCUUGGGUUAGGUUCUGGCAUGAUGUUUGGCUGCCCCAGAGACACUUAUUGAAAGACUUACCGAGGAUUUGGGCAGCUACUCAAUGUUCGGAUGCAUAUAUUAUUGACUUUCUUUCUAUGGAUGACAAGCGCUCUUAGAACAUUCCUUUAUUAGUGGUCUUGAUGGGAGGUGUCGAAGACGAGCGUCUCUGAUUAAUGCAUUUACUAAACAAUCUACCACGAGGAACAAUCUCCUCUGGACCUCCAAGACUAGCGUGGAGUUUAGAUAGUAAGGCUGGUUUCUCUAUCAAGAGUGUUAUGAGAGUCCUCACACGAGAAAAAUUUCGAAGCAACAUGACAUUUCCAGCACUUCUGAUUUGGUUGCCAACAAUACCAACAAAGAUUUGCAGCUUCAUUUGGAUGACGUAUCAUGGAAAUAUUUCCACGAUGGAUAAUCUACAAAUAGAUGUCCCCUUUGUUGUGAGCAUGAAGAAACGAUUACCCACUUACUCUCCCAUGUUCAUACGCGGCCAAAGUGUGGAGUUUUUUUUAGCCAUAUGCUUGGGAGGUUCGGUCCAUUUCCGACCACUAUGUAGGAUGUUUGGGGUGGAGGGGGGAUAUGGAUGUUGGUCAUUCUAGAAUUCUGCAGUUUCACAAGAUCACUCCGCAUGCAAUAUUGUGGUAUCUUUGAACUGAACAGAACAAUAGAAUUUUCAGAGAAACUAGUUGCAGGGAGAUCGAAGUAGCUCGGAAGAUUGCAUACAAAUUGUCUAGGUGGCUUUCGGUUCAUUGAGCAGUCAAUCAGGAUGUCUGUUUAUUAGGGAUAAACGCUAUUUUCCGGCCUCCUUGAACUCGAACAAUCUGUCAGUCUUUGUGAAAUAGUUUGAACUUCAACUAUUUCUUUUGUACUUUUGUUGAGUUUCAACCAAGGUUGUGGAAGGCGUAAGGCGUAGUAAGGCGGUGAGGUCCUGCCUUACGCCUUGAUCGAUUAGGCGUUUUGAAAAAAUGUAAUAGAUUUAAGUGAAAUAGACAAGUUCAAACAUAACAAAUCGAUAAAUUUCAAGAUAACUAAUGUUCAAUUUCUAACAUAUAUUCGUAACUCUAUUUUAUAUUGAUGGUGCUCAAUAUGUCAAAAUUUAUAUAGACAAAUUAACUAACUUGAUUUUCUGAUUAGGCAUAUUUCACCAAAAUAUUUAGAUUAAAGUCAAAGCGAGCUACGAAGUUACAAAUAAAAAGUAGGGGCUUUGGUUGUGAUUUGGCCCGACAUAAGGGGCCAUUUAGGUAAAUUCCCCUAGGUAGCUCCUCGAUUUGAUCGUCCUCUUCGGUUUCCUUGAAGAAUUCUUGCUCUAUUACGGCGAUUUACAAAGAAAUAGAGGAAUGAGGAUUGCGAUUUUGUACACAGAGAGAAGACGAGAUGAAGCGUCACCUUGGCGUGGGAGAUGAAAGGAGGAGACGCGUGGGAGAUGAAGGAGGAGACGGCGCCGAUCGCGGAGGAGAUGUUUUUUUUAAAAAAACGCGGCGACACCGCCUUUUCCGACUCAGCGCCGCGGAGGCGCUCGAGGCGACGAUUCAGCGACGAUUCGGCGACGAUCCGCCUUAAUCAGUCCGCCUCGCACUAAUCGCCGUGUUUCCUCUCCGUCCUGCCGAGUUUUCUGCCUAGGCGGCCACGGAGGCACGCCUUCCCGAACACUGGUUUCAACUAUCUUUUUUUGUUUGGCUUUUAGUUUUUGUCGGGCGUGAUGUUGCUCUAUAACAUUUUUGUACAGUUUAUCUGUUAUUCCAUAUCUUUAUAGACUUGGGAUUUUUUAAUUGAUAUUUAUCAUUCAUAAAAAAAUAUCUCAAUGUAAUAGGUUGUAAAUAUAACCAAUUAUAAAAG
rnacentral:lncRNA from 1 species